rnacentral:rRNA from 1 species
GAUCAUUACUGAAGUGAGUCUUCAUUCAUUGAAGCUUCUUCCCAUUGUGCUGGCUUUGACCGUAUGUAAAGUUGGGGAUUAAACAUGGUUCAAAAUUUAUUUUGUGGCCGUCCCCAACAAUUUAUCUCAUCCUUUAUAAAUUUGAACUGAACUCAUUUUGAGAUUACUUAAAAAAAUAAUCUUAUUAUACAACUUUCAACAACGGAUCUCUUGGUUCUCGCAUCGAUGAAGAACGCAGCGAAAUGCGAUACGUAAUGUGAAUUGCAGAAUUCAGUGAAUCAUCGAAUCUUUGAACGCACAUUGCACUCUAUGGUAUUCCGUAGAGUAUGCCUGUUUCAGUAUCAUGAACACCUCACUACUAUAACUUUAUUGUUAUGAUAGUGGAUUUGGAAUGCGCUGGUGUCAGUCAGCCCUUCUAAAAUGGAGUUCUUGCACUGUUGAUUUGUUUUAACAGCAAUGUUGGCCUAAUAAGUUUCAGCAGCAAUGUUGAAAUCACUGGCUUUUUUUGCUUAGAAUCGGACAGUCUUGAUAUACAGAAUUUUUGAGGUGACUUUUGUCUCCUCUUCAAAUUUUGAUCUGAAAUCAGGUAGGAUUACCCGCUGAACUUAAGCAUAUCAAUAAGCGGAGGAAAAGAAACUAACAAGGAUUCCCUCAGUAACGGCGAGUGAAGCGGGAAGAGCUCAAAUUUAAAAUCUGGCUUACUUGUAAGUCCGAGUUGUAGUCUGAAGAAACGUUUUCCAUAAGCACUGAGGCACAAGUCCCUUGGAACAGGGCAUCAUAGAGGGUGAGAAUCCCGUCCAUGGUCUCAAGUUGUUUAUUUUGUGAUACGUUUUCAAAGAGUCAGGUUGUUUGGGAAUGCAGCCUAAAAUGGGUGGUAAAUUUCAUCUAAAGCUAAAUAUUGGCGAGAGACCGAUAGCGAACAAGUACCGUGAGGGAAAGAUGAAAAGAACUUUGAAAAGAGAGUUAAACAGUACGUGAAAUUGUUGAAAGGGAACCGUUUGAAGCCAGUCUUACUUGCUCGUGAUCAGUUUGUGCCUCGGCAUGAAUGCACUCUCGGGUAUGGUAGGCCAACGGCAGUUUAGAAUGCGAGAAAAAAAUUUGGGAAAUGUGGCCUUCGGGUGUUAUAGUCCCUUAUGAAAUAUCGUGUUCUGGACUGAGGAUCGCAGUAAAAAUGUGGGCAGGUAGAUUUCUGUGGUGAAUGAUUNUUNGGACAACUUGUUGACCUAGUUUUCAUAAGCCUCACUGU